ACUUGUACACUGCAACUACAAUAUGUCAACAAGCGGCAUUUGUUUUUGACUUGGAUUUGACCCAGUGGAACUUAAAACUGGAUGAAAUGGUGAUCGAAGAGAAGUCCGAAAAAAGAAAGCAAUGGUUAUUUAUCCGUUUAUACCACUAGAGCAGCAAAAUUGAGUGAUAAUGUCUGGAAGUAACUGUGUGAUAUGCAACGAACCUUUGGAGAAUGGGCAACUUCUGAUAACGAUAAGAGAAAAAGGUGCAAAAACAAUCAAUGAAGUAAGCAGCAAACAUAGACAUCAAAACGUAUUUGUUGUAGCCGGCCAAAUACUACACCAAGAAUGUCGAAAAAAAUAUACUAAUGCUAAAGAGAUUCAGAAAAUUGGUAAAGAGAAUGCUGAUAACGAUAGAUUUGAUCGACUCACGCGAUCAUCACAGUAUUUUGAUUUUAGAGAACACUGUUUGUUUUGUGGACAGUCAGCGCAAAUGUCAGAUAGAAAAUAUGGAAUAGAAGUAUAUCCAGUGAGAACUUUUGAAUUCCAACAGAAAAUUGAUGCAAUAUGCAAAGACAGAAAAGAUUCAUGGGCUGCUGACGUUUUGGCAAAACUUGAAUAUG